UACGUAGGGUGCAAGCGUUAAUCGGAAUUACUGGGCGUAAAGCGUGCGCAGGCGGUUGUGCAAGACAGAUGUGAAAUCCCCGGGCUCAACCUGGGAACUGCAUUUGUGACUGCAUGGCUGGAGUGCGGCAGAGGGGAUGGAAUUCCGCGUGUAGCAGUGAAAUGCGUAGAUAUGCGGAGGAACACCGAUGGCGAAGGCAAUCCCCUGGGCCUGCACUGACGCUCAUGCACGAAAGCGUGGGGAGCGAACAGG
rnacentral:rRNA from 1 species